rnacentral:rRNA from 1 species
CAAAGAUUAAGCCAUGCAUGUAUAAGUAUAAACGCUUUAAGCGUGAAACCGCGAACGGCUCAUUACAACAGCUAUAAUUUACUUGAUCUUGACAAACUUACAUGGAUAACUGAGGUAAUUCUUGAGCUAAUACAUGCACCAAAGCUUUGACCGUAAGGGAAGAGCGCAUUUAUUAGAACAAAACCAAACGGCUUCGGCUGUUCCCAGUUGAAUCAGAAUAACUCAGCUGAUCGUACGGUCUUGCACCGACGACGUGUCUUUCAAGUAUCUGCUUUAUCAACUUUCGAUGGUAGGGUAUCUGCCUACCAUGGUGGUGACGGAUAACGGAGGAUCAGGGUUCGACUCCGGAGAAGGGGCCUGAGAAAUGGCCACUACGUCUAAGGAUGGCAGCAGGCGCGCAAAUUACCCACUCUCAGAAUUUGGAGGAGGUAGUGACGAGAAAUAACGAGGUUGAUCUCUUCUGAGGCCAACCAUCGGAAUGGGUACAAUUUAAACCCUUUAACGAGUAUCUAUGAGAGGGCAAGUCUGGUGCCAGCAGCCGCGGUAAUUCCAGCUCUCAAAAUGCAUAGAAUUAUUGCUGCGGUUAAAAAGCUCGUAGUUGGAUCUGCAGCCGGAGCUCCGGUCCAUCUUCGGAUGUGUACUGGAUGUCUUCGGCUUUCUGACAGUGUUCGGCUCUGUGCCUCUAACCAGGUGUGGAUGUCCGAUACUGUAAGUUUACUUUGAAUAAAUCAGAGUGCUCUAAACAGGCGUUUUGCUUGAAUGAUUGUGCAUGGAAUAAUAGAAGAGGAUUUCGGUUCUAUUUUAUUGGUUUUAUAGACUGAGAUAAUGGUUAACAGAGACAAACGGGGGCAUUU